rnacentral:rRNA from 1 species
GUAACGCGUGGGCAACCUGCCCCAUACCGGGGGAUAACAGCCGGAAACGGCUGCUAAUACCGCAUACGCCCAGGAGGCUGCAUAGCUUCCUGGGGAAAACUCCGGUGGUAUGGGAUGGGCCCGCGUCUGAUUAGCUCGUUGGCGGGGUAACGGCCCACCAAGGCGACGAUCAGUAGCCGGCCUGAGAGGGCGGCCGGCCACAUUGGGACUGAGACACGGCCCAGACUCCUGCGGGAGGCAGCAGUGGGGAAUAUUGCACAAUGGGGGAAACCCUGAUGCAGCGACGCCGCGUGAGCGAUGAAGUAUCUCGGUAUGUAAAGCUCUAUCAGCAGGGAAGAAAGUGACAGUACCUGACUAAGAAGCCCCGGCUAACUACGUGCCAGCAGCCGCGGUAAUACGUAGGGGGCAAGCGUUAUCCGGAUUCACUGGGCGUAAAGGGAGCGCAGGCGGCACGGCAAGUCUGGUGUGAAAACCCGGGGCUCGACCCCGGGACUGCAUUGGAAACUGCCGGGCUGGAGUGUCGGAGGGGUAAGCGGAAUUCCUAGUGUAGCGGUGAAAUGCGUAGAUAUUAGGAGGAACACCAGUGGCGAAGGCGGCUUACUGGACGAUGACUGACGCUGAGGCUCGAAAGCGUGGGGGAGCAAACAGGAUUAGAUACCCUGGUAGUCCACGCCCGUAAACGAUGAAUACUAGGUGU